GAAACCGGAGCGUCCACUGAGCGGCGCCGCAGCCCGCAACUUCCACAAGCUGACAGCCGGCGCUUCCUCUCUGCAACACGCUGCAGGCCAAUCCGCUCUCUCGCUCCGUGUUGGGUUACAGUGACAAGGGCCCCGUCUGAACCACGACUUUUAGAAAGAUAAUAUUACAGGCCCACAGCUGAUCCAUCUACCAGUGCACGAUUGAGACAGAGGAGGUUAAAGCACCCCGAACGCAUGGGACCAUAUUGCAGCGCCUCCCAGCACUCCUCCAUGUUCUCCUCCAUCUGCCUCCUGUCCAUUGAUCAGCCUUCCAGGGCAUCAGUCUGUUUAACAUCUGCUACAAGUUUCAGCAGCUCAGAUGCGCAGAGGCUGUAAUGAAGAGCUCUUGAACUCUCUGUCAGAGAAGUAGUGACAGGAGUUCAGGAGGAUGCCUCUUCGGCUCUGCUGGACGUAUGAGAAACACACACACACACAUAAACACACGGGUACACAUACACCCAGAGAUAGCAACUAACAGCUAAUACAAAAUCAAAAUGAAACUGUCACUCAUACAUUAUUUCACAAAUCACUAGUUUUUCAUCUAAAGUGUCCAAUGUUCAAUUUUUUUCUGCUUAUAUUGGAAAAAUAUAAAAAAUCUAUCUCUGU